rnacentral:piRNA from 1 species
UGUUGUGGAUGCUUAAAGCAAGGUUUC